rnacentral:rRNA from 2 species
UGAGUGAUGAAGGCUUUCGGGUCGUAAAACUCUGUUGUUAGGGAAGAACAAGUGCUAGUUGAAUAAGCUGGCACCUUGACGGUACCUAACCAGAAAGCCACGGCUAACUACGUGCCAGCAGCCGCGGUAAUACGUAGGUGGCAAGCGUUAUCCGGAAUUAUUGGGCGUAAAGCGCGCGCAGGUGGUUUCUUAAGUCUGAUGUGAAAGCCCACGGCUCAACCGUGGAGGGUCAUUGGAAACUGGGAGACUUGAGUGCAGAAGAGGAAAGUGGAAUUCCAUGUGUAGCGGUGAAAUGCGUAGAGAUAUGGAGGAACACCAGUGGCGAAGGCGACUUUCUGGUCUGUAACUGACACUGAGGCGCGAAAGCGUGGGGAGCA